rnacentral:rRNA from 1 species
CUACCCUACGGGAGGCAGCAGUGGGGAAUAUUGCACAAUGGGGGAAACCCUGAUGCAGCAACGCCGCGUGAGUGAAGAAGUCAUUCGUGAUGUAAAGCUCUAUCAGCAGGGAAGAAAAUGACGGUACCUGACUAAGAAGCCCCGGCUAACUACGUGCCAGCAGCCGCGGUAAUACGUAGGGGGCAAGCGUUAUCCGGAUUUACUGGGUGUAAAGGGAGCGUAGACGGCUGUGCAAGUCUGAAGUGAAAGCCCGUGGCUCAACCGCGGAACUGCUUUGGAACCUGUCUAGCUUGAGUACUGGAGAG